AGCGAACGCUGGCGGCAGGCUUAACACAUGCAAGUCGAGCGGGCACUUCGGUGUCAGCGGCAGACGGGUGAGUAACACGUGGGAACGUACCCUUUGGUUCGGAAUAACGCUGGGAAACUAGCGCUAAUACCGGAUACGCCCUUUUGGGGAAAGGCUUGCUGCCGAAGGAUCGGCCCGCGUCUGAUUAGCUAGUUGGUGGGGUAAUGGCCUACCAAGGCGACGAUCAGUAGCUGGUCUGAGAGGAUGAUCAGCCACACUGGGACUGAGACACGGCCCAGACUCCUACGGGAGGCAGCAGUGGGGAAUAUUGGACAAUGGGCGCAAGCCUGAUCCAGCCAUGCCGCGUGAGUGAUGAAGGCCUUAGGGUUGUAAAGCUCUUUUGUCCGGGACGAUAAUGACGGUACCGGAAGAAUAAGCCCCGGCUAACUUCGCG
rnacentral:rRNA from 1 species